GACAGCAGUCGCCGCGGGAAUACGGAGGGUGCAAGCGUUAAUCGGAAUUACUGGGCGUAAAGCGCACGCAGGCGGUUUGUUAAGUCAGAUGUGAAAUCCCCGAGCUUAACUUGGGAACUGCAUUUGAAACUGGCAAGCUAGAGUCUUGUAGAGGGGGGUAGAAUUCCAGGUGUAGCGGUGAAAUGCGUAGAGAUCUGGAGGAAUACCGGUGGCGAAGGCGGCCCCCUGGACAAAGACUGACGCUCAGGUGCGAAAGCGUGGGGAGCAAACAGGAUUAGAUACCCGUGUAGUCCCUGUCUCUUAUAC
rnacentral:rRNA from 1 species